UACGGGGGGGGCAAGCGUUGUUCGGAAUUACGGGGCGUAAAGGGCUCGUAGGCGGCCAACUAAGUCAGACGUGAAAUCCCUCGGCUUAACCGGGGAACUGCGUCUGAUACUGGUUGGCUUGAAUCCGGGAGAGGGAUGUGGAAUUCCAGGUGUAGCGGUGAAAUGCGUAGAUAUCUGGAGGAACACCGGUGGCGAAGGCGGCAUCCUGGACCGGUAUUGACGCUGAGGAGCGAAAGCCAGGGGAGCAAACGGG
rnacentral:rRNA from 1 species